AACGAACGCUGGCGGCGUGCCUAACACAUGCAAGUCGAACGAGACCUUCGGGUCUAGUGGCGCACGGGUGCGUAACGCGUGGGAACCUGCCCUUAGGUUCGGAAUAACUCCCCGAAAGGGGUGCUAAUACCGGAUAAUGUCUUCGGACCAAAGAUUUAUCGCCUUUGGAUGGGCCCGCGUUGGAUUAGCUAGUUGGUAGGGUAAAAGCCUACCAAGGCGACGAUCCAUAGCUGGUCUGAGAGGAUGAUCAGCCACACUGGGACUGAGACACGGCCCAGACUCCUACGGGAGGCAGCAGUGGGGAAUAUUGGACAAUGGGCGAAAGCCUGAUCCAGCAAUGCCGCGUGAGUGAUGAAGGCCUUAGGGUUGUAAAGCUCUUUUACCCGGGAUGAUAAUGACAGUACCGGGAGAAUAGGCUCCGGCUAACUCCGUG
rnacentral:rRNA from 1 species